CGAUGAAGGACGUGCAAACCUGCGAAAUGCUACGGGGAGCUGGUUGGAAGCGAUAAUCCGUAGAUGUCCGAAUGGGGGAACCUGAUUAAUAGUGAUAUUAAUUAUUUAGAUCUGAAUACAUAGGGUCUAAAAGCAAUACGUUGUGAAGUGAAACAUCUCAGUAGCAACAGGAAAAGAAAUCGAAAGAGAUUCCGUGUGUAGUGGC
rnacentral:rRNA from 1 species